UAAUGAUUUGUUUUAUACUGUCAUGUUUGAGGUAACUGUAGGUUAUAUAUACUUUGUGUAUAAUGUAUUAAGGGGAGAUAAUCAAUCUAAAUGACUUCAUACGGGGUGAACAAUAAUGAUUUGUUUUAUACUGUCAUGUUUGAGGUAAUGGGAAGUGAUCUGGUAUGUUGACAAGUAAUGUGAACGACUCCACCAGUUGAGUGCAUCAUCACCUUUGCAGACAAUGGAAUAUUCAGUACACUGGGUGCAAUCACCAUCAUAGCAGCGGAGGGUAGCAUCAAGCACUUUUGUUGGCUUUAGAUUAUGGAGGCCCCAGAUAAGAAUUCUUCAGACUACUGAUGCAAGCAAUAAAGGAGAAGUAUUUCGACAAUGGGCUCAGAGAUUUAUUGGCAGAUCAAUACCUUUUUGUUGGGAAAAUAUUUGGUAAGCGUAAUCUGUUAAUCCGUUUGUGACAAUUUCAAGUUUUGUACCAAUACGAAAACAAACGUGACUGCCAUCAACAAUUAUUGGUUUUGUUUGAUCCAUACAUGAACUUCAUUAAUUUUAUGCUUCAACCACAAGAAGAGCAAUUCUUAACAGGACCAUGUCUUUAUAAGAUUUUAACUUUAGAAAUUAUUUGUAAUACAUAUUGCUGCCAUGGACAACCAUUAUUUUUUGAUUGCAAUGAGAUUAUUUGAAGAAGAAAAAUCCUGUUUAUUCAUUAGAUAUAUUUUAGACAAUCAGACUAAUGUAUUACCUAGAUCAACCACUUACAUGUAAAAGUAUAAUUCAUUUUUCGUUUGGAAAAUAUAUGAAAGCCAUUAAAACUUAAGCCAGUUGCAUGUAGGCAACAAAUUGAAAAGGAAUACUGCCAUUUUUGCUUGUUCAGACCACCAAAAGAUUUCAAUCAGUAUGUUCCUAAAAAAGUUGCAUUCAUUUUACAAAUAAUGUAUAACAAAUCUAUGACAAGGAAUGGAUGAUUUAGGAUUUUAUACUGUAAGUUGGAAUUUACACUUAUAGAUGUACUGUCAUAUUUCAGAAAAUAAGUGCAAGUGUUUUGUGAUUAUGAAAUUAAUAAUGAUGUGCAUUCUAAAAUCUAAAAACAUGUAAUUUAUUGAUUGAAAACUAAUUCAUUUGUUCAGACAUUCAGAUGCAUUUUGAAGAUAUGAAACAUGAAACAUGUAUCAGUUUGCUUUGACAACAACUUGUAUUUGCAGAUGAUUGAUUUUAAAUUACUGGUAAUAAGUUUAAAGUUUGGGGAUCUUUAUUAUUUUCCAUUAUUUAAUCACGUGAAAGUUUCUAUCUUAUAUUGUUUAAACUAGAUGUGUCGAAACGACACGAAUGACCCGUCUCAUAAAGUUGAAAAAUCUGCAAUUUCAAUAACACAGGUAGACACGAACAUGUUGGUAGUCUCGCAUAUUAAAACUUAGCUCUACAUCUGAAAGAGUUUGGGGAAAAAAAUCUGUAUAACUGUGAUUUUCAACAAGUUAUCAAAGUUCAAGCCCGUAAUUUCGGCAAAGAUAAGCAAUGCAGAACAUAACUUAAACUUAAUCUGUAUCUCAUCAUUGUUAACUCACAUGGGAAAAAUCAGUGCAAUAUCUGAAAGCAUUUAGAAAAACUGAUAAAAACAUUAUUUGCUUGCCUUUCAAGGGUAAUUACACUACAGUUCACAUGGAUUUUGCUUUUUCCGCGUGCCCACUGUGGGUGUGGGUACUGAGUGGUUACUUCCUGUCUACAUGCCCGUUGCCGUGGACAAUUGCCCACGGGUAUACAAGUGGGCAGAAGUUUAUCGAUCCAUGUCUAUUGCGAGUUUUACAUGAGUCAGG